rnacentral:sRNA from 1 species
GGGGCUGAUCUAGGAUUCGACAGGAUUGAUGAUACCGGAUGGAGCACGUCGAGGGACGGUUUGCCUCGUAAAAAGCCGUAAAAAAAUAGUCGCAAACGACGAAAACUACGCACUAGCAGCUUAAUACCCUGCCAAGAGCUCUUUUGCCCUAGCUUCCGCUCGUAAGACGGGGAACAACAAAAGAUCAAAACCCAAACGAACUAGU